AGAGAGGAUGAUGACAAGCUAAGACCACAAAUCUCUCCUGAGGGAGUCAGGGGAGCAGGAGAUGUGGGUGGUGCUGAGCUCCCACUGCCUCCCAGGGCAGAGAGGACCGCAGUCCAGUCCUCAACCUGUGCGAAAGGUUUGGGGAAAUGACAACUGAGUUUCCAGCACACGUCAGUGCAAAGCAGCUUAUUCCAGGUGCCCAGCAGCCCCACGUGGCCAGUGGCCACCACACUGAAGCGCAGCUCGGAGGACUCUGACUGCCCUGAGCUGAGGGAGGUGACGGGUCUGAAACACUCUUUUCUGCCAGAAGUUAGGGGACACCUCCUCCCUCCCAACAGCUCUCUUCAGGCCCAAGAGUGAGAGAUGGUGCCUCUAGAGGGCAGGGGCUACAAGAACAAAGUGUCCACAGGUUUCCCUGCUGCCCACCUGCUGCCCAUCGUCUUUCCAGAGAUCAGAAAAUGAACAAAGGAUGAUGGGGCCCCCAAAAGGAGGAAACCCAGUGUCUUCAGAUCUGUCCACAGCCUUGACCUACGAAGUUUAGAUAUGGAGGGAAUAGAUUAAAGGCACACUUACUUUGCUAUUUGGCCUUGACCCUAACGGUCAGGCUGUGUACAUUUGUUUCCUCACAUGCUGUGGAGGACU
rnacentral:lncRNA from 1 species